rnacentral:rRNA from 1 species
AAGUAUGGCUUCAAGGUUCAACGGGAACGGGGAUUAGGUUUUUUCCGAGAAGGACCUGAGAACGGCUACUUCAUCCAAGGAGGCAGCAGGCGCGCAAAUUACCCAAUCCCGACACGGGGAGGUAGUGACAAUAAAUACUGAUACAGGGCUCUUUUGGGUCUUGUAAUUGGAAUGAGUACAAUUUAAAUCCCUUAACGAGGAACAAUUGGAGGGCAAGUCUGGUGCCAGCAGCCGCGGUAAUUCCAGCUCCAAUAGCGUAUAUUAAAGUUGUUGCAGUUAAAAAGCUCGUAGUUGAACCUUGGGCCUGGCUGGCCGGUCCGCCUCACCGCGUGCACUGGUCCGGCCGGGUCUUUCCUUCUGGGGAGCCGCAUGCCCUUCACUGGGUGUGUCGGGGAACCAGGACUUUUACUUUGAAAAAAUUAGAGUGUUCAAAGCAGGCCUAUGCUCGAAUACAUUAGCAUGGAAUAAUAGAAUAGGACGUGUGGUUCUAUUUUGUUGGUUUCUAGGACCGCCGUAAUGAUUAAUAGGGAUAGUCGGGGGCGUCAGUAUUCAAUUGUCAGAGGUGAAAUUCUUGGAUUUAUUGAAGACUAACUACUGCGAAAGCAUUCGCCAAGGAUGUUUUCAUUAAUCAGUGAACGAAAGUUAGGGGAUCGAAGACGAUUAAUCUGGUCGUCAAUAGCGUAUAACUAGUCUGCUCAGCAGGCAACACCGCCAAAUUGCGGGGACCUCCUAAAGGCUGCACCACUCCCUACGCCCAGAAAUAGGCGCAGCUUGUUACAGCGUGUAGUAUGAUCAGGGCAGCCUGAGAAAUGGACAAUCCGCAGCCAAGCCCUACCGCUGCUCGCAGCCACGGGUGCAGUUCACAGACUAGACGUCGGUGGGUUCGCAGAACUUAAGAUAUAGUCGGUCAGCCCCUGAAAGGAGGCCUGAAGCAUGCAGAUACCGUCGUAGUCUUAACCAUAAACUAUGCCGACUAGGGAUCGGGCGAUGUUAUCUUUUUGACUCGCUCGGCACCUUACGAGAAAU